GACGAACGCUGGCGGCGUGCUUAACACAUGCAAGUCGAACGGAAAGGCCCUGCUUUUGUGGGGUGCUCGAGUGGCGAACGGGUGAGUAACACGUGAGUAACCUGCCCUUGACUUUGGGAUAACUUCAGGAAACUGGGGCUAAUACCGGAUAGGAGCUCCUGCUGCAUGGUGGGGGUUGGAAAGUUUCGGCGGUUGGGGAUGGACUCGCGGCUUAUCAGCUUGUUGGUGGGGUAGUGGCUUACCAAGGCUUUGACGGGUAGCCGGCCUGAGAGGGUGACCGGCCACAUUGGGACUGAGAUACGGCCCAGACUCCUACGGGAGGCAGCAGUGGGGAAUACUGCACAAUGGGCGGAAGCCUGAUGCAGCAACGCCGCGUGCGGGAUGACGGCCUUCGGGUUGUAAACCGCUUUCGCCUGUGACGAAGCGUGAGUGACGGUAAUGGGUAAAGAAGCACCGGCUAACUACGUGCCAGCAGCCGCGGUGAUACGUAGGGUGCGAGCGUUGUCCGGAUUUAUUGGGCGUAAAGGGCUCGUAGGUGGUUGAUCGCGUCGGAAGUGUAAUCUUGGGGCUUAACCCUGAGCGUGCUUUCGAUACGGGUUGACUUGAGGAAGGUAGGGGAGAAUGGAAUUCCUGGUGGAGCGGUGGAAUGCGCAGAUAUCAGGAGGAACACCAGUGGCGAAGGCGGUUCUCUGGGCCCUUCCUGACGCUGAGGAGCGAAAGCGUGGGGAGCGAACAGGCUUAGAUACCCUGGUAGUCCACGCUGUAAACGGUGGGUACUAGGUGUGGGGUCCAUUCCACGGGUUCCGUGCCGUAGCUAACGCUUUAAGUACCCCGCCUGGGGAGUACGGCCGCAAGGCUAAAACUCAAAGGAAUUGACGGGGCCCCGCACAAGCGGCGGAGCAUGCGGAUUAAUUCGAUGCAACGCGUAGAACCUUACCUGGGUUUGACAUGGAUCGGGAGCGCUCAGAGAUGGGUGUGCCUCUUUUGGGGUCGGUUCACAGGUGGUGCAUGGCUGUCGUCAGCUCGUGUCGUGAGAUGUUGGGUUAAGUCCCGCAACGAGCGCAACCCUUGUUCACUGUCGCCAGCACGUUAUGGUGGGGACUCAGUGGAGACCGCCGGGGUCAACUCGGAGGAAGGUGGGGAUGACGUCAAGUCAUCAUGCCCCUUAUGUCCAGGGCUUCACGCAUGCUACAAUGGCUGGUACAGAGAGUGGCGAGCCUGUGAGGGUGAGCGAAUCUCGGAAAGCCGGUCUCAGUUCGGAUUGGGGUCUGCAACUCGACCUCAUGAAGUCGGAGUCGCUAGUAAUCGCAGAUCAGCAACGCUGCGGUGAAUACGUUCCCGGGGCU
rnacentral:rRNA from 1 species